UGACUGAGUGGCGGACGGGUGAGUAACGCGUGGGUAACCUGCCUCGUACAGGGGGAUAACAGUUAGAAAUGGCUGCUAAUACCGCAUAAGCACACAGCAACGCAUGUUGCAGUGUGAAAAACUCCGGUGGUAUGAGAUGGACCCGCGUCUGAUUAGCUAGUUGGCAGGGUAACGGCCUACCAAGGCGACGAUCAGUAGCCGACCUGAGAGGGUGACCGGCCACAUUGGGACUGAGACACGGCCCAAACUCCUACGGGAGGCAGCAGUGGGGAAUAUUGCACAAUGGGGGAAACCCUGAUGCAGCGACGCCGCGUGGAGGAAGAAGGUCUUCGGAUUGUAAACUCCUGUUGUUGGGGAAGAUAAUGACGGUACCCAACAAGGAAGUGACGGCUAACUACGUGCCAGCAGCCGCGGUAAAACGUAGGUCACAAGCGUUGUCCGGAAUUACUGGGUGUAAAGGGAGCGCAGGCGGGAAGACAAGUUGGAAGUGAAAUCUAUGGGCUCAACCCAUAAACUGCUUUCAAAACUGUUUUUCUUGAGUAGUGCAGAGGUAGGCGGAAUUCCCCGGUGUAGCGGUGGAAUGCGUAGAUAUCGGGAGGAACACCAGUGGCGAAGGCGGCCUACUGGGCACCAACUGACGCUGAGGCUCGAAAGUGUGGGUAGCAAACAGGAUUAGAUACCCUGGUAGUCCACACUGUAAACGAUGAUUAAUAGGUGUUGGGGGAUUGACCCCCCCAGUGCCGCAGUUAACACAAUAAGUAAUCCACCUGGGGAGUACGACCGCAAGGUUGAAACUCAAAGGAAUUGGCGGGGGCCCGCACAAGCAGUGGAGUAUGUGGUUUAAUUCGACGCAACGCGAAGAACCUUACCAAGUCUUGACAUCCUGCGACGAUGCUAGAAAUAGUAUUUUCCUUCGGGACGCAGAGACAGGUGGUGCAUGGUUGUCGUCAGCUCGUGUCGUGAGAUGUUGGGUUAAGUCCCGCAACGAGCGCAACCCCUAUGGUCAGUUACUACGCAAGAGGACUCUGGCCAGACUGCCGUUGACAAAACGGAGGAAGGUGGGGAUGACGUCAAAUCAUCAUGCCCUUUAUGACUUGGGCUACACACGUACUACAAUGGCGUUUAACAAAGAGAAGCGAAGUCGCGAGGCAGAGCAAAACUCAGAAACAACGUCCCUGUUCGGACUGCAGGCUGCAACUCGCCUGCACGAAGUCGGAAUUGCUAGUAAUCGCAGAUCAGCAUGCUGCGGUGAAUACGUUCCCGGGCCUUGCACUCACCGCCCGUCA
rnacentral:rRNA from 1 species